rnacentral:lncRNA from 1 species
CAGUGUUAACGAUGUCCGUUUAGGAUUCCAAGUCUGUGAAUAGCUUCGUAUGUUGAUUCUUGAUAUGGGAGCGCGAUCGGAAAUGAAUGGAAAGUCCAUGGGUUAUUUUGGAAUUAUUUGGCUAAAGAUAAAAAUUUGAAGGUUUUUUAGAAGUUUGACCGGAAAUGAUCCUUUUAAUAUCGGGGUCAAAUUUUGAUUUCGGAAGUUGGAGUAGAUCUGUAAUGUCAAAUAUGACUUGUGUG